CUUCUUCAAUCUGUUGCGGACAGAUGAAGUGGAUGUGAGAGUCAAUUCCACCCGCCGUCAAUAUUGAACCUUCUCCGGCUAAUACUUCGGUACAUGGACCAACGAUGAUAUCAACACCUGGCUGUAUAUCUGGGUUGCCCGCUUUACCGAGCGCUUGAAUGCGCCCAUUUUUAACCGCGACAUCCGCUUUAAUGAUGCCCCAGUAAUCCAACACCAAUGCGUUAGUAAUGACGAGGUCAGGCGUUUCAGCGCUAGGAGCUGACUCUGGCCCAUACCGUCGCGAAU
rnacentral:sRNA from 1 species